UAAUUAUUUAUGCUCACAUUUCAUGAUGUAUUUAUUUAUUUAUUUAAUUAAUUUUGUCCAAAAUAUUCCAUAAUUUUGAAGUGCAACUGAAAUUGCGAGAGUCUCUCAGUCUCAUCCAGAGAAGAGAAGGUGUAUUGUUAGACCUCAACACUGCUGGACAGAGCCACAUGCCACCUGGCUAGCCCCCCACUCCUGCUCAUCCUUGAACAGUAACUCUACACUGCUCAGAACUCUACAGAGCCCAAACCCACCCAGCCACCCCUUGAACAGAAGUCAUUUGUUCCCUGGUUCAAGACUAAAGCAGCACUGAACUUCGAAGGCAACAUGCACAAUAAGAAUAACUCAUGUCACAUUGGUCAGGAUAUCACAGUUGGAAUAUUUUACCUACCAAAUAGCCCAGCAAGGUUAAACAACACUGAAUUUAGGGAAAGACAAACCCUAAAUGGAAAACAGAAUGCAAAGAGUAAAAUGUUAAUCCAUUGGUUUAAAUGUAAUGGUUUUGUGUCAUUUCAAAAUUGUAUAUAUUGUUACAGAUGGAUGUUAUGAUUCUGAAAUAGCUUACUUUUUUUUAGGUCUUUAGAAAACAUACUAUAUUCAGUAUUAAUGAGUUCAAUUGCAAGAAAAAUUGCUUGGGAUAUCUCAUUUUGAAUGAAAUUUUUGUUUUUUAAAUAACUUUGCAAAUUUUGUUUGAAAUUGGUAUUAUUGCUUUUGUGAUUAAUGUGUGACUGAUGCAAUGUAUUAAACAUUUAAAGUAAAACAUCUUGAUCAACUAUCAACUAAGCCCAAUAUCUAUCUUCAUUAUUUUGGACAUUACACACUGGUAAAAUAUUUUCACCUUUGGAAUUGUAUAGCUUUGGGCACUAAGUUAAAAAAUAAAAAUUCAAAUGCUCCAUCAAAGUGAAAUGUAACUUUCAUUUAUUAUUUUGUGUUCUGAUAGUCCUGUGAUUAUCAGUGUUAUGCAUGUGCUCUUAAGGUUUUACUAUAGAUUUUGUUUAGUAUAGCUUUAGUCUAUUUAUUUCUAAUGUUUAUAAAUGUAAUAUUUGGUGCUUUUAAAAUGUUUUGUGAGUUUUAUUUCUUACUCGUACUUAUAGCUUAAUUUACGUCUUAAUGUUUUGUCGAUGUGCAAACGAUUUGAACAUGAUGUUGUGCUGAUGGAUAUGGGUCAGUGCUAUCAGGGAAUGUAUUGUGUCAUUCAAACUUUUUGCCCCUUUGUCAAUGGUAUUAUUUUUAAAUGAGCUCUUAUGGAAAUAAAGUAGACUUGACUUAA